GAUGAAGAACGCAGCGAAAUGCGAUAAGUAAUGUGAAUUGCAGAAUUCAGUGAAUCAUCGAAUCUUUGAACGCACAUUGCGCCCCUUGGUAUUCCGGGGGGCAUACCUGUUCGAGCGUCAUUAUAACCCCUCAAGCUCAGCUUGGUGUUGGGGCCUGCCAACUGGCAGCCCUUAAAAUCAGUGGCGGCGCCAUCUGGCUCUAAGCGUAGUAAUUUCUCUCGCUAUAGGGUCCCGGUGGAUGCUGGCCAACAACCCCCAAUUUUCUAUGGUUGACCUCGGAUCAGGUAGGGAUACCCGCUGAACUUAAGCAUAUCAAUAAGCGGAGGA
rnacentral:misc_RNA from 1 species